GUAAAACAAUCACCUGUGUGGAGUUGAUUGUCGUAGAGCAGAUGAAUAAAUACAGGGCUCGUCUCAAGGACAUCAACAGCCUGGAGUUUGCUGAGAACAAAGCAAAAAGCAGGCCGUCUUUGAUCCGCAGAUCAAUGACUCAGGAAACUUUUCAUCAGUUUGGAUCUCUGAUUGGAGCAAUAGCACCAUACAGCUGUGAUUCACUGGCCACGUCUCGUCAGUGGGUGUUUGACUGUAUCAGCUGCCUUCUCUGUAUACAAGGCCAGCCCAUGAACCUGGGGUCAGCGGAAGAGGAGCUGAGAUGUCUCCGUGAAGAACUAACAGCAGCUCCGGACCCCGAGGCUCUGUUUCAGGCAUCUUCCAAAAUGGCCAGGGUUGUUAGUGAGUACUUUCCCCCAGAACAGGCCACAGCCUUUAUUGAGGCCACAGUGGAAAGUAUGCUGUCUGCCAGCCCCACCUGUGCCACGGCAGCUGGACUGUGGAUGAAGGUUAUACUGAAGGAGUGUGGAGAUGCCAUGCUUGAUAAGGUGCCAGCUAUUGUGGAUAUAAUAUAUAGCCACAUGGCUACUAUCCAGGAGGGCAGCUUGAGGCAAUUCCUGCUGGAGGCAGUGUCUAUUUUAGCUCACCAUCACCUAGAGGCAGUGAUCUCCAGCCUACUCAGCAACCAUCUGCCGAUGGACAGUUACACCAGUGAGCUGUGGAGAUCUCUGGGGGGAGACCCCUUGCUUGCCACUCAGGUCCUACAGGUCCUAAUAGAAAAAAUAAAGACGUCAACAAGCCAAGAAGAAAGCAUCACCUCAGAGACUGAAACUGACAGGCAUUUGGCAGCUGCUGAACCUCUCUCAGCAACAUGUGCCAUCUUUGAGGUGGUGUCAGCACAGCAGUCGAGCAAAGCUGUGCAGGAGCUGCUCCCAGAGUUGUUUCCUGUUCUCCUGCAGCAGGUCAGCCGAACCUCAGGACAAAAGAUGCCUUUGCCAAGGAUAAGAAGCCGGAGCCUAUUCCAAAAAGACCAACAACAUACUGAGGGCAACCCUUGCCGGUUUUCUGUCCAAGCGUUAGAAUCUGUGCUUUCUAAAGCUGGGAAUGAGAGACUGGUGAGAGUGCUCAGGACGCAGAAAACAUGGAUUCUGCUUGAAAACCCCCAGACUCACCAUGAGGGAGUGUGUCUGCUGGUGAGUGGUCUGCUAAGAUUUGGACUAAUAACACUUGAGAUCAUCCAGAGCCUCCUCCCCUGGGUGAAUUCCCCAAUGGAAAACUUCCGAGUCACCGGCACAGCUUUCCUUGCCCAGCUAAUGACUGAUCCCAUGCUCAGGGAGAAGAAGUUGCUUAAGAGUGUCUUGCGCAUCUUGGAAGAAAGGUCACAGGAUAGGAACAGCAUUGUCCGUCAGAUGGCUGUAAGAGGCCUGGGAAAUAUAGUCAAUGGGGCGCCUGUGAAGGUGAAAAAAUACAAGAAGUUUCUUCUGGACAUACUGAUCGGGGCCUUACAUGACGUUUUCAGUUCUGAAGUGAUUGGUGAGAGCAUGAAAGCACUGGCCAAAGUCCUGAAGGAGCUGAAAGAGAAGGACAUUGGUUCUUCCUUCAAAAACCUCACCGAACAGAUCCGGGCCUACUUUGACGAUGAGAAUGAUGGUCUUCGCUCAGUGGCCUUUGUCCUAUUUGGCAUCCUGGCUCAGUUGACAAAGAAAAAAUGGAAGGCCUAUUUCGCUGAGCAGGUUCGAAAGAGCUGGGUCAUACUUCUGCUGCACCUGCAAGACCCAAGCCCCGAGGUUUCAAUGGAAUGCAGAGCUACAUUUCACCUCUGUUUCCCGUUUUUGGGACUGAAGAGACUCCAACAUGCGAUCAAUAAGCACCUUGGUGGCAGAGCCGAGCUGAAGCCUGAAGAGCUCCAGGUGGACAUUUGCAGACACCUUGCCAAAGAAAAUGCAGAACUGCUGAAGAACUUGUAUAGCACAACCAUCGCGUCCUUCAGUAGCAGCUGGGAAGGGAUCCGGGCAGGUGCCGCCAACUUAGCUGGCAUCAUCCUGGAACACACAGACACUCAGCGUAUGAAAUGGCUGGACCUGGAACAUCUGCUGAUGUCUCUCCGGGUCCUAGAGAAAGACCCAAGUCCCACUGUCCAGCUGGUGGCAACUGAGCUCAUAAGUGACAUCUGUCCUGGCCGAGCGCUUGGCGAAUGAAGCAGAACGGAGACAAACAGAACAAGGCGCUCCAGUGGUAUAAGGGCCCUACCAUCAAUCAAAUGUUAAUCCCACCCCUUGACCCCGGCAGCAAGAUGUGUCAUGUGACCCCUCUAAGAACUCCUCCCACUGCCAUCUACCGAUCAGGGUGGGUUUCGCCCCAAUAGGAAUGCCCCGAGGGAAGACUUGACCAAUCAAGGGGAGUUCCGGGGCAGGUGACCUGUCCUUUGUGUGACCCCUCUAAGAACUCCUCCCACUGCCAUCUACCGAUCAGGGUGGGUUUCAGCCACUGGGGAUCACUCCAAGAGGAGAUUUGACCAACUGGGGGGAAUUCUGGGGUGGGGUGACCCAUCCGGAAGUGCUUCAUGUGACCCUUCUAGGAACUCCUCUCACCACCCUUUACCAGUUGCGAUGGGUUUCAGCUGCAGAGGACUGCCCCAAGAGGAGAGUUGACCAAAACAAGGUAGGUUCUCGGAAGGGGUGAACCUCCCAGAAGAGGGUUGUGUGACCCCUCUAAGAACUCCUUCCAAUGCCCUCUGCCAAUCAGAGUGCAGCACAUCACCUCAUAAGUCCCAGCGCUGGGCAGAGGAGGCCAUCUCUUACCAAGAAGACGUGUUUUAUGAAUUGUGGAAAGGCUGAGAGGAGACAUGGACUCCUUUACCACUCCCCUGAGAACUUCAGACUUUGUUUUAGCCCCGAGGACCUUUGGGCUUGUAUGGAUAAAGCGCUAUAGCAGUUACAGUUCCGAGGAGGGCCCUUUGACUCGACCAUUGAUAGAUACCUCAGGACCCGACCCCGAACCCUCAUGAAGAACCCCGAUGAGUGUGAUGACCCCCCCCCAAAGUGGGAAGAUGAUCAUGGCUUGGGGGAGUCACUGGUGGACAAGGUGAACGGGAAAGACGUUGCUCAGCUCGACGAUGCCUUUCAAGAGGCCUUUGAGAACUUACACAUCGGUAGCCCUGUUGUGCAUCAGCUGUUUUUGCUCCUGUCUGAGAUGCGGAUCUCAAGAGGAAAAUCCGGAAAAGGACAAAAUAGAAGAAUGAACCAGCUCAGAGUCUUUCGUUGUAGGGGUCAUGGCGUCCAUUUUUACAGGUGGCUGUCAAAGGUUGUGUUAAACCAGGCAAUUAAUUAAACUUAUUUAAAUGUGUCCCUAUGACUGUAUCCCCUCCAUACUUGUGUUAGUAAAAGACGGUACCUGUGGGGUUGUUUUGGUGAGAGUGUGGGAAGCUAGAUAUGCAGACUCAAGGACGGGCUAGUUCUCAUCUGCUAGCAGGCAGUAAACAGGAUAAUAAAUUAGAAGGUUGCAUAGAAUGGCAAUUAUCCAAUGAAGUUACAGCUGUGCUUGUGUGUACCUUAUUAACCAAUUAGCAAUUGCUUGAUUGCCUGGCC